rnacentral:rRNA from 1 species
GAUGAACGCUGGCGGCGUGCUUAACACAUGCAAGUCGAACGAUGAAGCCCAGCUUGCUGGGUGGAUUAGUGGCGAACGGGUGAGUAACACGUGAGUAACCUGCCCUUAACUCUGGGAUAAGCCUGGGAAACUGGGUCUAAUACCGGAUAGGAGCGUCCACCGCAUGGUGGGUGUUGGAAAGAUUUAUCGGUUUUGGAUGGACUCGCGACCUAUCAGCUUGUUUGUGAGGUAAUGGCUCACCAAGGCGACGACGGGUAGCCGGCCUGAGAGGGUGACCGACCACACUGGGACUGAGAAACGGCCAAGACUCCUACGGGAGGCAGAAGUGGGGAAUAGUGCAGAAUGGGCGCAAGCCUGAUGCAGCGACGCCGCGUGAGGGAUGACGGCCGUCGGGUGGUAAACCUCUUUCAGUAGGGAAGAAGCGAAAGUGACGGUACCUGCAGAAGAAGAACCGGAUAACUACGUG